UAUCCGCACUAUUUCAAGAAGGCACGACAUUGCUCACAUUGCUUCCAGUGUAAAUCAGCUACAUGAGCAGUGGUGGACGUACAAACGUAUUACCAUUGUUCUCUUUUU
rnacentral:misc_RNA from 1 species